rnacentral:rRNA from 1 species
AACGAACGCUGGCGGCAUGCCUAACACAUGCAAGUCGAACGAGACCUUCGGGUCUAGUGGCGCACGGGUGCGUAACGCGUGGGAACCUGCCCUUAGGUUCGGAAUAACUCCCCGAAAGGGGUGCUAAUACCGGAUAAUGUCUUCGGACCAAAGAUUUAUCGCCUUUGGAUGGGCCCGCGUUGGAUUAGCUAGUUGGUAGGGUAAAAGCCUACCAAGGCGACGAUCCAUAGCUGGUCUGAGAGGAUGAUCAGCCACACUGGGACUGAGACACGGCCCAGACUCCUACGGGAGGCAGCAGUGGGGAAUAUUGGAAAACGGGCUAAAGCCUGAUCCAGCAAUGCCGCGUGAGUGAUGAAGGCCUUAGGGUUGUAAAGCUCUUUUACCCGGGAUGAUAAUGACAGUACCGGGAGAAUAAGCUCCGGCUAACUCCGUG